rnacentral:lncRNA from 1 species
UUAAGGAUGUUCGCUACUCUGUUAAAAAAUAACAAGCUUUUUAAAAGACUAUUAUAAAUUGAUAGUAUAUAAAUAAAGAAACAAAAAAAGUAGAAAAAAAUGGAGGGUCCGUGUGCUCGUUUUCGAGAUAUAAGCCAUUGAAAAUUUGGCGGGAAAUUAUUCUCUCUAGAUUGUUCAUAUAUUUAACAUUGGCACCUUAUUUGUUUCAAACACUAUGAAAAAAUAACAAGAAUUUUGUAAAAUUUUGAAAUAUGGCUUUUUUAACUUUAUGUAAUACAAUUAUAAAAAGAAAAGUAGGGGUUAGUGGG